UCUGCAUAAAGAAGAAGAAAAGACUACGAAUGGUCCUCUGCACCCGUGCUUCUCACCGGCGUCGCCUACUACAAACGGAGGUGAGGGUGAAGGCGACGACGACGACAAUGAUGCCUACUACAGAGGGAGGUGAAUUCGACGACGACGUUGCUGGGGUUCUCUGCUUCUGGGGUCCGUCAAAGUCACCCGUUCCGUUCUUCCCUUCCGUCGAAGUCAAGACCCAACAAGCAUUGAAUCCUCUCUCUCACGGCUAUGAAGGAAAGAAUGAGCGAUCUUGCCCAGAGUUUAGGAAUGCCUCAAGGCCUCAAUGAUGUGCUGAAUUUAUCAGAAUAUACAAGACAGAAGUGAAUUACAUGAGAAUAUAAUUACUGAACUUGAAUGAAUGGUCACGAAUCAUUCACAAACUUGAGGUCCAGGGGUUCAGGGUUAUGUGAUAUUGCAAUUUUGGUUGUGGAUAUUAUGCACGACUUAGAACCACAAACAAUCGAGUCAUUGAAUCUUUUGAAAAUGAGGAAUACUAAGUUUAUUGGGGCAUUGAACAAGGUAGACAGACUCUAUGGGUGGAAAAGCACCUACAAGCACCAAUUGUAAAGGCAAAGAAGCAACAAUCUAAGGAUGUCCAAAAUGAGUUCAACAUGAGGCUCACUCAGGUCAGAAGCUUUCCAAUUUCUUUUUCUUUUAUACUUUGUCUGUUCGAUUGUACUAAUA